rnacentral:lncRNA from 1 species
UAUAUCCCUCUGGUUGGAGCAUUCUUGAAGAAGAAGAAAAUUUGUGCGAACGCCCACUGUUUAUGUAAGAAAAAGAGAACAGUGGGCAGAGAUUCCAGACUUUCUACUAAAUUCACACUUCCCUUCACCUCUCACACAUACAUUAAACCCUAAUUCACAAAAUCCUAAUCAGUGACAUGGACGCCGCCCAAAAUCCUUUAUGCGCACAAGAAGCACUCGAUCUUCUAAAUUGCACCACUGAGAAACCUUACGAUAAGGAGAAAUGCCAACGUCUGCUCGAAUCCUUGCGCCAAUGCGUCCUUAACAAGGUAAUUAGAAUUGAUUAUGGUGUGAGCCUCUUUUUUUAUUUAAAUAUGUUUAGUGAUGCUUAUUGUUGGUUUUGAUUCUGUUCCUUACUGUUGUUUUUUUAAACACUUGAAUUUUGAUCUGCAUUUUUCACCUUUGGGUGGCUAGUUAGGUGAAUAACUGGAUAAUCCGCCUAGAGGAACUGUAAUUAAGGGUUUUAAAGCAGAAGUUCUUUGUUUUUUUAAACUGAAUUAAGUUAUAACUAUUGCAAGGGGUGGCAUAGCGGUCAAUGAGUUGGAGUGACAACCUUAGGACUCAAGGUUCAAAUUACUAAGGCGACACUGUGAAUUUUCAUGUGCUUAAGCCUUGGUACACAAAGUUGUCGAAUACUUGCUGGAGGGGUGUAGCAGGUACUCAGUGGAUUAGUAGACCUAUGCACAAGCUGAUUUGAACACAGCUGUUAAACAAAUGCAAGUUAGUGGAUUUCUUGUUUUGCACUAUCUUUAGAUUAUAUAAACUACCUGUUAAGUGAAGCAAAAUUCAUUUUAUAUCUAGAGUUGCUGGCUGUUUUUCAUACUUUAUGGUGCAACUUUUAGAUCAUGGAAAGGAUCA